rnacentral:lncRNA from 1 species
GCACUUUGCUCAAAUUCUGGGUACAAAAUGAAAAAUAUUAUGUUUGUUUCAUGACAGCUGCUCUUGUGGUUAGCGCCAUAAGAAGGAGAGAGACUGAAGAUGAACUACAAAGCAUACCUGAAAAGAAAGGAGGGGGAGAGAGAGAGAGAGAGAGAGAGUCAUAUGCUGAAAAUUACAUCAAUGAAAUGUUUUUUCUUCUUGGCAAUGUAAGUCUCCAUUCUUUACAUCAUUUGGAAGACAGUAUACUAGACAGAAGAAAUUUGUAACUUAAAGUAAAGAAGUCUGUCUUCAUCUGUCAUCAGGAGGAGCAGCGUUCAGUUUCCCACUGAUUUAUUUUUGGCCUUCAACCUCGAUUCAGAUGCACUCUCCUCAUGAAGAUAUAGAUGUGGAAAGGACUUACAGAGGUUAUCUAAUCCAAGGUGGGAUGCACAAAACUUACGUCACUUCUGACAUUCAUAGAAAACAAGUGUGAUUCCAUAUCCUCCUUGCAAAAGCCACUUAAAUGUUUGCUUUGCAGCUGAGAAGUGUCUUCCCAAGGACUAUAUUAGAUCUGUACUGUUGCAGACACUCUAAAUUGUAUCUACGCUGGAUAACGAGCAAAUUAUUUCCUCUUUGUUUUCAACAGUCUUUCAUAUUUUAAGAUUAUUAUCGUAUGUCACUUCAGUCUUUUCUUUAUUCUGAGCACCUCUGUUUUCUUCAGUAUUUCCUGGCAGAUUGUACCUUGCAGUAGUCCUUGCUGCUCAAUUCUGAACUGCCUAUCCAUCACCAAUGUCAUAGGCCAGGUAUAUUAAUCCAACAAGUCCUAGCCAACAAUGGGUAGGGUGGAGAAACUUCAUGCUUUGCAGUCUGUGCUCCUGUUUGUAAUUCUUUGUAUAGAAUUUGUCUUUUUUUACAAUAGCUGAAUUUCAUUCUGCCUAUGAUCCAAGAACCUAGAUCUUUCCUUAAAAAUCCUACUUUACCAGUUGUUCUUGCAUAUGUUUCAUUUCUCAGGUUGUUCACUUUAUCUUUUUAGCUAAGUUCA